GACGAACGCUGGCGGCGUGCUUAACACAUGCAAGUCGAACGGUGAAGCGCCUUCCUUUUUGGUGGGUGUGGAUGAGUGGCGAACGGGUGAGUAACACGUGAGUAACCUGCCCCCUUCUUCUGGAUAACCGCAUGAAAGUGUGGCUAAUACGGGAUAUUCUGGGUCUGUCGCAUGAUGGGUCUGGGAAAGAUAUUGUUUCGGUGGGGGAUGGGCUCGCGGCCUAUCAGCUUGUUGGUGGGGUGAUGGCCUACCAAGGCGGUGACGGGUAGCCGGCCUGAGAGGGUGGACGGUCACACUGGGACUGAGACACGGCCCAGACUCCUACGGGAGGCAGCAGUGGGGAAUAUUGCACAAUGGGCGCAAGCCUGAUGCAGCGAUGCCGCGUGAGGGAUGGAGGCCUUCGGGUUGUGAACCUCUUUCGCCAGUGAAGCAGGCCUGCCUCGUCUGUGGGUGGGUUGACGGUAGCUGGAUAAGAAGCGCCGGCUAACUACGUG
rnacentral:rRNA from 1 species